GCUAAAAAACCUUGACCUAAUUUUAGAUCCCCAAUCUUGUGAACUUUGUUCUUCAUCCUCUUCUUUGUCUCGUCGUCGCCGUCGCCGCCGCCGGGUUCAUCUCCUCCGGGUUCUUCAUCUUUUUCUUGUCGGCACUGCUGGCUGUUGUGGUCGUAAUCUGUUGAGCCGUGUACUUCAGCUUCUUCAUCUCAUCGCUGCAGUGUUCUUCAUCUUCUUCGUCUCGUCGCUGCCAUAUUCGUAUUCUGUCACUGCGAGGUUGUCUAAAAGGCGACCUCCACUUCCUUUUGCGGUCCAUUCCACUUCUCAGCCGUGUUCUGGAUACCAUUGAUGUCGUCGUCGUUCUUGUACCUGGAACCUGAAGCCCUAAGCUACCUAUGCCCUUGAUUUCUUGAAGGUGUAAAUAGUGUGUUCUGAAAAGCCCUAAGAGUCUUUCCUUUAUGCUUCUAAGGUACUCAUUAUAGGCUUUUGGGGAGACUGAUUGUGUUUUUGCUGAAUGCAAGUUAAUCACUACACAGCUUAAAUACUGGCCUUGACAAGCACAACAACCUUGGUGUUUGUUUGGUUAUGUGACCAUUUUAGUAUUCCUUCAUAAAAAUAUUCAGUUGGGGUGAAGUAGAAGGAGUUUGGUAUUGUUUUUUGUCUGGCUUGUGUUUUCAGUUGGUUAAAAGUCAUUCUGCAUCUAGGAAAUGCAUUUUAAGGGGACCAGAGUUGAUUUUUACUCCCUCUAAAGUGAUGAUGCUUCUUAAUAGUGCCUGAGAAAUCAAAAACAUAUUGAAGUGCAUUUUGAAGUGAAAACUGAUAGCAGUCUUAGAUAAGUCCUCCACUGUAAUCUUAAAAAAUUUAUAUUUUAACUAUCUUAAUUAUCUACAAGCUAGAAUGCAGGGUCUUGAUAAUUCUUUCGCUGAAUGGUUAAUGCUUUUAUCAUUGAGCCUCGCUGGAUUAUAGAUGAAAACGGUAAUGCUGGGUGAUGAUACGGAAGUGCUAAAACCUCUGUCACUUUAGUCUGGUAUAUUAUAAUGAAGAAAGAGGCAUACUGGACUUGAUGGGCUAUGGAAUGUUUUAUUGGUGUUUGCUGGCCAAUUUCAUCUUGAUAUCACCAACAGCUAUAUGGGUCCAUUCACAAGUAUAAGGGAUAGCUUGCUGGCUCUAUUUUUGCAGCAACUGGAAUUGAAGAUGGAUCUGUCAAGUAGAAUUUGAAUUGAAAAUGCAACAUUGAAGAAGGGUAUUGGGCAAUGAAUUUGAUUUUGGAUGAAUGCGAUUCGAAUUGUUGACCAAUUAUCUGGUUCAUGCAACAUCCAUUCUACUGAUAUGCACUCUCCUACUGGUGUUUGUAUCAUUCAUAGGAAGUGGAACUAUUUUUUAUUGUUGCUUCGAUUUAUUAGUGCUAUCUUAAGCUAGUCAUAUUCAUAUAGCUUUCUUUGUAAGGGUUGGAGCACCCUUGUGCUUCCUUAAAUUCAAUUUUGGCUUUUAAGAAAAAAAACUAUCUUAACUCUUGCUUCUCUCUAUUCAUUACUAUAUAGCUUGCUUUGUCA